rnacentral:tRNA from 1 species
GCCCAGGUGGCGGAACUGGUAUACGCGCUACCUUGAGGUGGUAGUGGGAGCAAUCCCGUGGAGGUUCGAGUCCUCUCUUGGGCACCA